GACGAACGCUGGCGGCGCGCUUAACACAUGCAAGUCGAACGGAAAGGCCUGCUUUCCCUUGUGGAUUGCGGGUACUCGAGUGGCGAACGGGUGAGUAACACGUGAGUGAUCUGCCCCCAACUUGGGUAUAAGCCUGGGAAACUGGGUCUAAUUCCCGAUAGGACUGCAGGGUGGUGCCUGUGGUGGAAAACGAUUUUCUAGUGGUUGGGGAUGAGCUCGCGGCCUAUCAGCUUGUUGGUGGGGUAAUGGCCUACCAAGGCGGCGACGGGUAGCCGGCCUGAGAGGGUGGGCGGCCACAUUGGGACUGAGAUACGGCCCAGACUCCUACGGGAGGCAGCAGUGGGGAAUAUUGCACAAUGGGCGGAAGCCUGAUGCAGCGACGCCGCGUGGGGGAUGACGGCCUUCGGGUUGUAAACUCCUUUCGACCGCGAGGAAGCCACCUGGUUGGAAGGGUGGUGACGGUAGUGGUAGAAGAAGCACCGGCUAACUACGUG
rnacentral:rRNA from 1 species